rnacentral:tRNA from 1 species
GGGCCGGUGGUCUAGCGGUAUGACGCCGCCCUCACGCGGCGGAGGUCGUGAGCCAGUCCA